rnacentral:rRNA from 1 species
CCAUGAGUACAGUGGCGUACGGGUGAGUAACACGUGGGGAUCUACCUUCGGGUGGGGGAUAACUCUGGGAAACCGGAGCUAAUACCGCAUAAGCAGGGAACUGGAAAGCCGAAAGGCGCCGGAAGAGGAGCCCGCGGCCGAUUAGCUAGUUGGUGAGGUAACGGCUCACCAAGGCAAAGAUCGGUAGCCGGCCUGAGAGGGCACACGGCCACACUGGCACUGAAACACGGGCCAG